GUCUUGGUGGUGUAGUGGUAGCACGCUUCCCCCGUAUACAUGAAACACGGGUUCAACUCCCGUUUGAGACC